rnacentral:lncRNA from 1 species
CGCAAGAGGGGCCUAUAGUAAUAAUAUCACUUGCAACGAAGGCUCUUGCGUUUAACUCGAUCAACUUUCGAAGCAUUAGAAAACCCCAGGGCUGGCGCCAUCCACAACAGUAUCGGAUCCUCGGAAUCUGGGGAGCAGAACUUUUGGAUACGUCAAGAGUGUUUCCGUCAUCGCCAACUACAUUAUCGUCCUUCUAAGGUCACGGAGACUGUUUGGAAUUUGUGGUAGAACGUUCGAAAACAGGAAGCUAGUAAAAAAGCUUGUCAAGUCGAAGCCACUGUGGAACUUAUGACAGCUGAUAUCCAAGUCCCCUCAUAGACGGCCAUGUUUCCAGGUGUAUAUCUAUGUGUGAGCUCGACUAUUUGCUGGAAGUUUCUCUUCAGGAAUCGAGAGCAUACUUCGUGUAGUGACAGACGAGUCGACCUGUCGUUUCUACCUCUCGUAAGACACUCGACACACAAAGAUUCACCGGAAAGUUGUUGCGGUGAAAAAAGUUGUUUGAGCCACAGUCCGAGAUGAGAAAAAGACGAAGAUUGAGUGGAGGAGAAGAAAAAGGUGUGGGCGUGAGUGAAUGGUAAGAGGGGAUGAAAAAAAAUGACAGAUCUGCCUCCAGGGUCAAUAAACCUUUUUUCAUUGACCGUUGAUAGACCUCGAGUUUCUCUUUCCCUGAGGAACGUUUUCUUUACGAAAGUCGAGCGAAAAUCACGGCAGCAAGGAACAUCGACGAAAAAUGUGAAGUUGGGAGCUGAAGAUAAAAUUAAACUGAACUGAAAUAAGAGUCUGAAACUCCUUUUCCCACUGGGAAAAAAAGUCGGAUAUUUCUCUGAUGAUUUGAGAAACAUUGUUAGA